UUCCUUUUUAGGUUCUUUCUGUGACAUGUUUUUCAUGGUGUUGGGAAUAAGACUUUGGGAUCUAAUACAUCUAAAAGGAAGGUUAACAUCACAGCUUGUCCGUAAGGAUUGAGGUUGGGAAUGGCCAUUGGAGCUGACACUUAUGGUAACUUUAUCUGUGGCAGAAUGAAAAUGAUUGGGUGACUGUACCAGUAAAGAAUGUAAUUCAGACAAUUUUUGUGUAUGUUUGAGAAAAUGUUUAUAAUUUUUUACAAAAAAAAAAUAGUGUAAAGAUUCUCCAUUUUCAACAAGAUUGUAAGUUAUAGAUAACUUAUUUUGAAUUUUAAAAUCUCUCUUUUUACCAUUAAAACCAAAGGAUAUAUUCAGGUAGCUCUACUCAUGUCCAUUCUUGACAAUUGUUUUGUCAUGCAUAUU